GCAUAUAUAGCUCGGCCUAACAACCAUUCUAAAAGUUUGACCUCAAAUCAGGUAGGAUUACCCGCUGAACUUAAGCAUAUCAAUAAGCGGAGGAAAAGAAACCAACAGGGAUUGCCUCAGUAACGGCGAGUGAAGCGGCAAAAGCUCAAAUUUGAAAUCUGGUACCUUCGGUGCCCGAGUUGUAAUUUGAAGAUAGUUUUCUGGUGCUGGUCCUUGUCUAUGUUCCUUGGAACAGGACGUCACAGAGGGUGAGAAUCCCGUCUGGCGAGGUGUCCAGUGCUAUGUAGAUUUCUAUCGACGAGUCGAGUUGUUUGGGAAUGCAGCUCUAAGUGGGUGGUAAAUUCCAUCUAAAGCUAAAUAUUGGCGAGAGACCGAUAGCGAACAAGUACAGUGAUGGAAAGAUGAAAAGAACUUUGAAAAGAGAGUGAAAAAGUACGUGAAAUUGUUGAAAGGGAAGGGUAUUAGAUCAGACUUGGUGUUUUGUGAUUAUCUUCCCUUCUUGGGUUGUGCACUCGCAUUUCACUGGGCCAGCAUCGGUUCGGGUGGCAAGAUAAUGACAUUGGAACGUGGCACCUUCUUCGGUUGGUGUGUUAUAGCCUUUGUUGAUGUUGCCUGUCUGGACCGAGGACUGCGGC
rnacentral:sRNA from 1 species